UGCCAGACUCCUACGGGAGGCAGCAGUGGGGAAUAUUGCGCAAUGGGGGCAACCCUGAUGCAGCGACGCCGCGUGGGUGAAGAAGUAUUUCGGUAUGUAAAGCCCUAUCGGCAGGGAAGAAAUUGGACGGUACCUGACUAAGAAGCCCCGGCUAACUACGUGCCAGCAACCGCGGGAAUACGUAGGGGGCAAGCGUUAUCCGGAUUCACUGGGUGUAAAGGGAGCGUAGACGGCCAUGCAAGCCUGGAGUGAAAGCCCGGGGCCCAACCCCGGGACUGCUCUGGGAACUGUGCGGCUGGAGUGCGGGAGGGGCAGGCGGAAUUCCUGGUGUAGCGGUGAAACGCGUAGAUAUCAGGAGGAACACCGGCGGCGAAGGCGGCCUGCUGGACCGCGACUGACGUUGAGGCUCGAAAGCGUGGGGAGCAAACAGGAUUAGAUACCCUUGUAGA
rnacentral:rRNA from 1 species